ensembl:lncRNA
ACAUGGUUCUGGGAGCAAUAUUGGUGGAAAGAAGUUAAAAUUUUGAAAUACUUCAGUGAUGUGAUCAGCAGACAGUAGUGGGAAAGUAUUUCUCCUAAACUUGACUGGUGAUCAAAAUAAGGAAGGAAGAUCUGAAAGAGCAGAAAAUAUUUUUGUUAAUCAGGAUAUGGCACUUUCCAACAUCUGGAUAUCAAAACACUUGCUUUGAAUUCAAUACUAUUAACAUGUGUCAUUUAAAUGAAUUUUUUUCUCCAGAGCCAAUUGGGUGGCUACGAUUCUUGGCAAGGUUUUUGCAGUUUGUUGCUUACAUUACCUGACCCGUGGUCUGUUUGUCUUACGAUCUCUGUGGGAAAAAACAGCAAGAGACAUCAACCCCCACCCUGCCUACCCGAAAAAAAGCAAUGCCACAAAGCUCUGAAAAUAGAUCAGAACCCAGAAACAAAGUUCUAGGAUGAAGUCUCAUCCUUCCACUGAACCAUUUUGACCAGAAGGUAACCUCAUGGGAUUUCUGCUGUUUUUGCCUGUGACAUCAUGUAACAUCAAAUGAGAAAGCAUCUGAUUCUUCUGAAUAUCAACGAGACAUGAUUAAACUGAAUACAACAGCUUGGGAAUCCAGGAAAAAAAAGUUUGAAUAAAAGGUCAGAGAAAGAUCAGGCAUCAGCUCUGGCUCUUCGCAAAAUGAUAAAACUAACAGGGAAUGACUCAGCUAGCCCUGAUGAAAAAGCUCCUUUCUUUGCAGUGUAAACAACACAGUCUGUGUUCUUGAAAUCCCAGACUGAAACAUCAACCAGCACUGGAAAAUACGAUACCCCAGAAUGCCUUCCCUGUCCUGGGCAUAGCCUGUCACCAGUAUUUCAGGGGAUCUUAUUCACUGCGACUGGGACUAACUACUCAGAAGAGACUUCUGCAUGAGUAAAAGGGAAAAAAGCUUGUGUGUGGACUGACCUCAAGAGUGUGAAGCAAAUAUUUUGUUUCAAAUCAACUUUUGACCCAUUUCUGAAGUAAAUUGAGUGACCAGUAAUUGAAACCAGCAAAAAAAAAAAAAAGAGAAAAAGAAAAAGGAGCAGAGCUGCAAGAGGAGAAGGAAUACGAAGUGCUGGGGCAAAGGAAGUACAGCCAUCUCCUCCCUGCUGCAUUGGAUGUGGAGCAAAGAAGCCACCUCGUACUGAAUGACCGUGCAAGGCCGUGCCUUACAGACAAGAUGGCACCAACUAAACCUAAAAAAAUGACUAACUGCCAAGAUAAUUCAAAGAAUAAUGAAGUUACAACAGCAGCAAAGAUGCAAAGAAAACUGAUGUGUUAUCUCUUCCUGGAGCUCACCACAAAAGAAUAAAAUGCUUCAUCUUUAAAAUGAAUGGGUCUAAAAUUUGUGAUCGCAGCUCUGCUUAUCAGGACGUGCUGAUGGAUUGGAUUAUGUGGCAGUCACAUGGAGGAGCCUUUGCUCAUGUUUGAUUUUAUAAAAUUCGUUCUUUUCUGUGACACUUUCAUACUUUGGGGAAACUUGUUUGUUGAUAAGUACUUGAAUUAACCUUUUAAAUAGAAGGAAUGUCUGCAAUAAGUUCAACUUUCUAUUAAGACAAAUCCUGGGACUCGCUUGUGACUCGGACUGCAGGAGGAGAAAAGUCAGAAAAUUUUCUUGUAGUGCUGCACAUGUUAAGCAGGCCUUGGACCUGGGCUGCUCCUCACAACAGAUGUGUGAGGAGGUCAGAGAGUGGGUGCGGACUUGGCUCCUGUGCUGCUUUGGCCAUUGCCACUGAUCCUCGAAAGUUCAAGACCUACCCCUGUGUGCUGGUUUUAAAGAAACACCUGUACGGAACAGGAAAAGAUCUGCACGUGCCAGUUGCAUCAAAGAAAUGUCCCUUUUGCAUGCAUCCCUAGGGACCACAGCUCACAUAUGCUAUUACGGCUGCCCUGGUGUAGCCCUAAUGGUUUUGUUGUGUCCCUGGCUGAAUACCAGUGAAGGUUAAUUCCCAUCAGUAUCACAGUGUUUCUUACUCAGUUAUGUGGAGUCUCAUGAUGCUGGUUUUCUUUCUAGGUGAUAGAAUAAUGAUAUUAUAUGAAAGCCUUUGCUUCCAAGGACUGUAGGACAGAACUGUAUACCCAUUUGAGUAACCUAUAGGAUAUAAAGAGCACUAUGCCAUUGAAUAAUGAUGUGGAUUAUAAGCAUGAAGUUUCUUACUAGAAGACAGCUAGGAUCACUUCUUGCAAUAUAAGUACCACUGAAACAAGCCUCU